rnacentral:tRNA from 1 species
UGCGGGAUAGAGCAGGGGGCAGCUCGCCAGCUUCAUAAGCUGGAGGUCGAGGGUUCGAAUCCCUCUCCCGCCACCA